rnacentral:piRNA from 1 species
UGCAGGUUGCUUGGUACAGAAGAGCUGGU